rnacentral:lncRNA from 1 species
AAUAUUUAAAUAAAUCUAACUAUAGAAAAUUCUUUUCAAAAUAAGCAGCGGAUAAUAAAAUUAAAACGCUCGAAGUAGUAGAUAAAAUAUAAAAUAGCGGUUUUAGAUAUUACAUACUUCAAAAACAUUGCUAAUUAGCAUAAACCUCGCUUAAUAAAAAUUGUUUUCUAAAAUAAUACAUUUACAAUAAAAUAAGAAUACAAGUACAAGACUCAAUAAACCCUUCCCCGUGUCACAAUCAGAGCGGAGCUUUCACUAACAACUCGAACACCAACAAACAUACAACCUGAGAACCUGAACCCCCAACGGUUCAUCACAAACACAAAACAGAGGGUUAGAUAACACAAUUAUUAACAGUGACUGAAUAUAAUUCAUAUCAGACACUGAAUAAAAUAAAUACAAUUGAGUAAAUUCAACUCAAACAAUCACCACAUAUAGACAUGUAUAGAUCUACUCAAACAUAUAUCAAAUAUAUUCAUACAUGUAUCAGACAUGCUCAGACAUGUAUUAGACAUAUUCAUUUAUCAAUUACUCAUCACAUUUGAGAAGUACAAACUCUCGAACAAAUAAAUGAAAUAUACAAUGUCGAGUACCAUUUAACAUUUAAGAAUUUCAUAUAAUUCCUAAUGCAUUCUAAUGUAACAUAGAUAUGAGAAGUACAAACUCUCGAACAAAUAAAUGAAAUAUAUAAUGUUGAGUACCAUUUAACAUUUAAGAAUUUCAUAUAAUUCCUAAUGCAUUCUAAUGUAACAUAGAUAUGAUGUCACCUAGACAUAUCUAUAUGUAUGUGGUACCAAUUCAUCAUAAUCUUGGAUAAUUUAACCCAAGUGUUUUAGAUCAUCGUCUCUAAAACAUUCUAGAUCAUCGUCUCUAGAAUAACAGUAAACUAGAUCAUCGUCUCUAGGAUACUCAUCAAUAAACACAACUUAUGAAUGCAUGAAAUGUGCAUAUACCAAACAUAUGAUUUUAUCUCAACUAUAACGUCAACAUAAUAUGGAUAACAUAAUCCAAAUAUUCUAAAUCAUCGUCUUUAGAAUACCUCUACUCAUGAUAAAUCAUCAUUUAUCAUCAUCAAAAAAUGAACAUCAUAAUUCAACAUCAUAGUCAAUAACAUUAUGAAUCAUCACCAAUACAUCAUCACGUAAUCACACUAAUCUUCAAUAAGAUUUAUUUAUCAAUAAUUCAUCAUCAUAAUCAUAAUACAUCAUUUACGAAUAUCAUGAUUUCAUCAUCUAUCAACAACCUAAUCAUCAUCAUUAAUCAACAACAUAUUCAUUUACAAGACACUAAAGUCUCAUACCAUCAAGGGUUCACCAAUUUCGAUUAAUUAAGCAUACGAAAGUUAUUUUAAACUAAACUAAUGCCAAAAAUAUAGGCAACAUCAUUAUCCAAGCAUAAUCUCAGAAAAUUGACUCCGGAAUCGGAAUCUACGCGAAAAACUGAGCAAAAUAGAUUCCGACAAAAAAAGUAGACAAAAAGUCAACGGUUACGAGUCAACAGGUAGCGUCAGCCAUAGCGUCGACUGGGGUUUAACGCAAAGUUCUGCAGAAUUUCAGAAAAGGCAUUUUGGAUUUCGGCUUACUCAUAUAAUCACUUAAAAACCCACGAAAUCACUUAAUAAAGCUCAAAAAAUUGAUAUCCAACUAAUACCAAACUUAUAGCUUAUUAAAAACAACUUAAAACAAACUUAAAUCAUCAAAACAACUUAUUUAAUCAUGGAUUUUCACUUAAACUUAUAAACUUACUAAGAGCACUUAAACUACAUCUUCAACAAUCAAAGUAAGUAUUUUUCUCAAAGCAAAUCAUCCAAUAAUCAUGAAUAAGCAUAUAGAUUUAUGUAUCAACACAUAAAACUCAUAAAUAAACAUAUUCCCAACUCCCACAUACAAACCCCCAAUUGAGAUGAUGAGAGUUUGGGCUAGAGAAAAAUGAUUUUCUCUCCUCUCAUAAAUUCAUCUCCAAUAAUCAUGUUACUAUCCCUCUUACCUUAACAAUUUAUUGGAACUUUGGUCCUUCCUCUUCAAUUCCUAAGCUUGUUCUUCCUCUCUUGGUUUUGCUCCUUUUCUCUUGUUCUUUCUCUAAACCCUUUCUCUAGCUCUCUUCUAUGUUUCAAGAGAAAAUGAAAUUCUCUUGCUGAUUAUUUUUUUUUCAUUUAUUUUGGUUUUUACUAAUUACUCCCUACACCUCCUCUUUACUCAACUCACCCCCAACCUCUUAGGCCCAACAUUACAUCUAGUUCAUCAACAUAAUCAUUCUUACUAAUCAUUAUGACUUAGUCUAAUUUCUCAUCUAAUUACUACUUAAUUACGACCACUAAGCCCCUACCAUAAAAUAAACACAUGAAUAAUUAAAUCAAUUAACCACAAAUAAA